CGGCCUCAGAUCAAGCGUGAUUACCCGCUGAACUUAAGCAUAUCAGUAAGCGGAGGAAAAGAAACUAACCAGGAUUCUCCUAGUAACGGCGAGUGAACGGAGAUUAGCCCAUCACCGAAGCCUAUCCGUUUUUGCGGAAAUGGCAAUGUGGUGUCAGGGUGUGUGCCUGGGACCGCUUGCUUACUCCAAGUCCGACACCGAAUACGGCUAGGAUAAUGUCCCGAGAGGGUGAUAGACCCGUGUGGGUAAGCUUGUGCAUGUAAGCGGUUCUCAGAUGCAUAUACCUGCGAGUCGGAUUGCUUGAGAAUGCAGUCCAAAGUGGGUGGUAAACUCCAUCCAAGGCUAAAUACUGGCACGAGUCCGAUAGUAGACAAGUACCGUGAGGGAAAGUUGAAAAGUA
rnacentral:rRNA from 1 species